AAAUUGUACCACGAAUGCACAGAACUCGUUGUAUAACACUGAAAACUGCAAGGACUAACCAGCAAAGAAUAGCCUACAUAUAUGUUAACACUUCACCUGGGAUGCUGCCUCCAUCAGUAUUGCAUGCAGAUUCCUGGUCUCAGCCAGAACACUUUCCUUGUCAAAUAGAGCUGAAACAACUGCAACGCCUUCCAGAUUUGACAC
rnacentral:misc_RNA from 1 species